GAUUGAUAGGGCUAUGGCAGGAAUCAUGGUAGGGGUUUUCUCCAAAGCUGGGAGAAUCCAAGAGUUGUUGAGACUUCUUCAGGACAUGAAAACAGAAGGGACACAAUUAGAUGGGAGGCUUUAUCGGUCUGCUUUCAAUGCAUUGAGUGAUGCAGGACUGCAAAUGCAAGCCAAAUGGUUACAGGAAAGCUUUGAGGCAAUGUAAUAAUGUAGGUGAUAUAUCAUAGCCAUUCUCUGCUACUUUUCAAGUCAAUAGAACAUGAGAAAAAUAUGUAUAUGUUCAAAAGUUCUAACAUCAGGUCUCAACGCUAGGUGCCAUAUUUGAAUUGAGCCUUAUGGUGUGUGUAAAUGUCUAUACAUAUAUGUACAUGCUUAUAUAUAUAUGUAAAAUUUUUUUUUUCUUGUACUAGUA
rnacentral:misc_RNA from 1 species